CCGCCCUGCUUUUGACUCUACGAUUCAGAAGACUUGGGGAAGACAGGACGAACUUGCCAGGCCCAGCAGGCCAAGUUUCCGGAGCCAUAGAAGGGGAUUCUCCAAGAAAACGAGGACAGAUUCAGCUAGAGUCGCUCACUUCGUCCAGCUGACAGACCCAGUUUCCACCGUAACAGGGUAUUACCUGCCUGCUGAUCCACAUGUAGAACCCUUAGCUGCCUCUCCAGCAUAUCUGCCUGCAUGACACCAUGCUUCCCGUCAUGAUAAUGAACUAACCUUCUGAACUGUAAACUCCAAUUAAACCUUUUCUUUAUAAGA